AGGUCGGCAUGUUGGUGAACCUUUCUUGUUUAGCUUAGAUUUCACGUUAUUCAUGCCAACAAGAGCUGCAAACAACUUCUCUAAUUGGUAGAAUGUGGACGGACAUUGCAUUCAUUCCCAUUCAGCCAUUGGACUGAACUGGUACCAAGACCGGAACUGUAACACAGUAAGGAUGGUCAAUAUGAAGCGAGCUUCAUUGAAUUCCUCCAAGAGCUCUGUACUCUGUUCUGAUCAUUUUGAAGAUGCUUGCUUUGACCUGGGCAGACGAUACGUCUUAAACAGGAUGCUGUCCCAACCAUAUUUGAUUUCCCGCCUCGUCUUCAGAAGAAUUCACCCAAACCAAGGUAUUUCCCAAAAGACUUUUCGAUUCAGCAAACAACCUCCCAGAUACUGCAAAGACACCAGUGCCAAAGUCUUCAGCACCUUAAUUUCUCGAAGACCACUCCUACUGAAUACCAGAAAGUCCAAGAGGGUAAAGUGGAAGUCAACAACAAUAAUGGACUGUAUUAAAACUUGGAGAAGAGGCUGAAAACCACACAGAAGUCCUACCUUAUACAUUACUUGCUUUUAAGUUUGGACAAACUGAUUUGCACAACUUUACAACAAAAAAAUUACGCUGUGUGGAUUCUGAUUAUUUAAAAUAGCUCAAUGAAAACGUUUAUCACUGGGCAUGUAACAAAAAUGAAUUCAUUGAAUUUGAAGAUGUCUUACAGUAUAUUCAUUCUGAUUUGAAUGUCAGAAGAGAAAAAAGUUUGUGAAAAGUAGGAAUGACGGCAAGCUGACAGAAGAAUAGAAUACAUGUAGGAUAGAACAAGGCCACAGUUAUAAAUGAGCUGUUGGAUAGAGACAAAAAGAUGAAUUAAGAAUGGGGGUGAUAGAGAAAUAGAGACAGGAAUUGGGGAGCCUGUGAUGAAUGCCUGAGAAAGUAAAAAUUACCAUAUUUUAUUUUUUUAAGGAUUUGAACAGUCAGGAAGAAUGUGGUCUUUUUUCUGUUGUUAUUUCUCAAAAUACUGGUAUGUUUUGUGUACAGAAAGGGGUAUAAUCCUUUGCAAUAAUCACUCUCACAGAAAAUAUUAACUAAUCAAAAGAAAAGUCAAAUAUUUCACUGAUUUACAAUUGUUCGGUCACUCUCAUAUCUAAAGUUACCCCCCCCCCCAUCAUUUCAAGGUAUUGGAGAGAGAGGUUGGGCAGGACAUGGCUGUCAGCAGAAAAAAAAUGCAGGGUGGGGCAAAACAAUUUUGGGAUAUGUGC
rnacentral:misc_RNA from 1 species